UCGACAGUGAACACCUGGUUGACAACUUGUAAGUCUUCAAGCAGAACACACCUGCUCAAAGUUCCAGUUUCCUAAACUUCGUACCAUGUCUGUAUGAGACUCUCCCACCUGUCUUCAAUCAUGUCAGGACCCAAUGACUCCAACACCAGUCUUGUGAGGCUCAUUAGAGGGAGGAUCAUGCCAGUUCACCAUCAACAUAUGAUGGACAACAUGUGAGUGGUGACAGUACACUUUGAAGUUCAAGUUUCCUGAACAUCAAGUCUGUGUGAGACUCAGUCCCAUGUUGAGCGCCCUGUUCAUUCAACUCUGGACGCAGUGACUCAUCACUCUUGAUCAACCUGGGUCAAGUGGCUAAUUUCAUAUAUAGUGUGUAUGGACACCUGUUUUUUCAAGAUCUCAUCACUGCUUUAUGAGUAUACUGAACAAGUUGUUGGAUCUGUUCAAUCUGUUUUUCAGAGGAUGUGUACAUGCAAAAACAGUUUCUUAAAGUUUAUUAAUGAUAGUCUGUACAUUGGUUUGCAGUGGGCUUUAUUUGUUAUGUCCUUUGCAUAAUUUAAGUCUUUGUAAAUUUAAGUGGUUGACUGUAAAAUUCGUAGCCACCAACUUUAUGGCCUGAUGUAUUGUAUGUAGCUCAUUUUUUGCAAUGAAAUUCUGGCAACCACUCCUGCUAUUAAUAUACUGUAAAGUUGAACUUAAUAAAUGCCGUAAUAUAUA